UACGUAGGGUGCAAGCGUUGUCCGGAAUUAUUGGGCGUAAAGAGCUCGUAGGCGGUCUGUCGCGUCGGCUGUGAAAACUCGGGGCUCAACCCCGAGCCUGCAGUCGAUACGGGCAGACUAGAGUGCGGUAGGGGAGACUGGAAUUCCUGGUGUAGCGGUGAAAUGCGCAGAUAUCAGGAGGAAUACCAGCGGCGAAGGCGGCGCUCUGGGCCGGUACUGACGCUGAGGAGCGAAAGCGUGGGGAGCAAACAGG
rnacentral:rRNA from 1 species